AAGUCGCCUGUUUAUCAAAAACAUGUCCUAUUGUGUUAUUUAAUAGGUCUGGCCUGCCCAGUGAUAAUUUUAACGGCCGCGGUAUAUUGACCGUGCAAAGGUAGCAUAAUCAUUAGUCUUUUAAUAGGAGGCUGGAAUGAAAGGUUUAACGAGAAAUUAGCUGUCUCAAUUACAAUUUUGAAUUUAUCUUUUGAGUCAAAAGACUUAAAUAUAAUUGGUGGACGAGAAGACCCUAUAGAGCUUGACAAUUUUUUUUUUAUAAUUAUUUAGUGAAUUAUUUAUUUAUAUUAAAAAAAUUGUUUUGUUGGGGUGACAAUAAAUAUAUAUUUAACUUUUAUCAUGAUAUUUACAUUAAUUUAUGAUUUUUGGAUCCAAAAUUUUUGAUCAUUAGACUAAGUUACCUUAGGGAUAACAGCGUAAUCUUCCCUCAGAGUUCAUAUUUACGGGAAGGGUUGCGACCUCGAUGUUGGAUUAAGAUAAUAAUUAGGUGCAGUAGCUUAAUUAAUAGGUCUGUUCGACCUUAAAUCU
rnacentral:rRNA from 1 species